rnacentral:snoRNA from 1 species
AAGGGGCCUUAUCGAAGCUAUGAUACUUAUAAUAUUAAAAAUAUCAUAGUCAAUAAAUGGCCAAUAAUAAAGAAAAUUCUUCUUUAAGGUCACAGAUUGAGUUGCAUAUUUCUUCUGUAGUACCCAAGAAGAAUACAAAA